GUUGAAAUAUAUAUCUGAUAGCUGACACAUAGGAGAAUGCUUUGGUUUAUAUUCAUCUUACAGAUUUUUUUGAAAAUGAAGAGAAACAGGGGGAAUUCUGUAAAUUUCUUCUUAUAUGCAAAUGAGCUGAAAAUGUAUUGAAAUGACUAGAUCAGAAGUUUAUGCCUUUCCAGUAAGUUUUUCCCUACCUUUGACGAUAGUUAUUAAAAAGUAUAGAUAUCAACCUGUUUGCUGAUAUUAGUACCUAAAAUUUUCAGCCUGUGAAUAGCUGUGGAAAGUUGGGACUUCCUUUUUUGAAGAUAUAAAUAGAUCUAAGCUAUAUUUAGACUAAAGUUUUUUCAGUAUAACAGCAUGUAGAGAACCCUUACAUACAGUCAAAUAUUCUUGAUAUUGCAAGGAAAUAUAAUGCAUUUUCAAGUGCUUGCUGUUUCUUAUGUUGUGCAUACUUGAUAUAGGUCAUUGUCAAUGUCCACUAUCAUUAUACUGACAUUUGAAGUUGUUGUUUUUUUCUAAAUUACCUCCCUUAUAUAUGCAUUUUUCUUCAUUCAUUUUAUUGAUAAUUACCUCCCUUUAUGUUUAGCAAAAAUUCUCAGAUUGCAUUUAAUUAACUCCCUUUAUUUAACAUGAAAAAUUCUCUUGUGUAAUGAUUAUUUGUAUAUUUUACUUACAGUGUCUGAUACAUGUAGUUGCAGUCUGUCUUUGGAAGCUGUAGAAAUAACAAGAAAGAGGCUGACAUAGUGUUUUGGUAGGGAAAAGUUUGAGUAUGUACAAGUACAGUUGUUUGACCUGUCUUACCCUGUGGCAGUCCAAGAAGAUGUUAAUAUUAUGAAAAAUGCAGGAGAACUUGAAGACAAUUGUUAGUGCAGAAGGGACAUAAAAGUUAUGACAAAAGAAACAGAUAUAAAUAAGAAGUGCUACAAGUGUGUUGUCAUGUGAAAUGGAAUUUACCCCAACAGUGCUGCAAGAUGUAUAUUCAAGUGCAAGACAGCCAUGCACCAGCUGUAAACUGAGAUGGACCCAUAUAAUAAAUAUGACUUUUUAAGUUUCAUAGUAUUUGUGGUGGAGACUGACCCAGUCAUUCAGCAACUUAUACUGUCUGUGUGUCAUUUCUUGUAUGUUAUAGUUUUCUUAAUAAUACAUUAAAUGUCAAAGUUAUGGUAAGAUGAACUCAUUUAUCACUUGUAGAUUAAUGUUAAAGCAGUUCAACAUUUUACCAUAAGUUAACUAAUAUUCUAUUUAACCAGAGUUGUCACAUAUUUUCAUAUAAAUAUUUGUAUAAUACAGUCUAAUCUAAUCUACAUAUGAUGUUCCACAAUUUUUUAGUUAUAUUUUAUGUUGAUAUUUUAUGUUGUUUUCAUGUCUCAACAUAUAAUUACUAACAUCAAAGAAACUUAAGUAUUUUAAAAUUUGGUUGGUAUAAAUGGUUGUUUUGUUUAUAUAUUUUAUUUUUUUCCAUCCAGGAGAAUAAAGAAAUGUACAUUUCAAAAUAUCUCAUCAUUCCAGAUAAGUACACUACAUAAUCAAGAUAAAAGAAAUAAGAACAAAAUAUGUUGGUGGAAUUUUAUUUUCAAAAAUUUGAUAUACAGUCUUUGUAGUAUUUACUUCUUUAGAUAUGUUGGACUGAAAUGGGAAUAACAACAUACUUUAAAUUUUUGUAGUCAUAAGUUAAUAUGGGAAUUAUUAACUUAACUUAAAACGAUUUUAUCUCACUGUUAUGCCAUCUGAGCUUUAAUAUUUUUCAACAUUGUCAUUGGCAACAAGGCUCAAAAUUAUUUGUUGUGUAUACCUUGCAUUCAUGUGUGAUAAAUGCUUUUAUGGUAUUCUUUAAUAUAAUUUAUGCUUUUCAUCUUACCAUAGAUUAAAAAAAUAUAUAUUUACUUGUCUGAAAAUUAAGGUAAAAAUACUGACUAAAUAAAUUGCAAUAUAAGAAAGCUUAUUUGAGAUAAAGGGAGGUAAUUCCAUAAAAAAAUAUGUGGAAUGUAGAUGAUAAAUGAAAUGAAGGGAGGUAAUAAAAUAUUGUGAAGUUAUUAGUCUUCAUUUCUUUGAUGAGCUAAUUAAUUGUUUUACAUUUUGGUUUAUUAACUACAAGUAUGACCUAACAUGUGUACCUGUCCUGAAGGAAAAUAAAAUAGGUUGUUUGA